UAAGACCUGAAGGAGAUAUCCCACAUCAUCUGAUUGCAACUCAGACAUUUUACUUAAACUAAAGCCUA
rnacentral:tRNA from 1 species